rnacentral:misc_RNA from 1 species
UAUAUUUUUGAAAUGGAGUUCAUGAUGUGGGACAAAAAGUGGAAGAGCCCAAAGUGUGUAUAAAAGGGGGCUGUGGUGACACGCUUCCAGGGGUGUCCAACGUCGGUGAGCGGCAAAACAGUGCCCCUGCAAAAACAGAAAACUGGGAAGACAGGUUAAAGCAGUGCGACAUCUGUAUAAAAAUGGGUUGCUGAGUUGAAGAAAAUAGUAUCAGGAGCAUUCCGCUUACAGGUUCUGAGAGCAAGAUUAAAGUGAAGAAGGGACAAAAUGCCGUCCAGUACAUGUUCCCAGUACAAAGAAGUUGUCAUUGUUGGAAAUGGUCCCUCUGCCAUCAGUUUAUCCGUCUUCCUCUCUGGGUACCGACCCUAUUAUAAGGGGGGUACACACUCCAACGAGUACCUCAAUGAAAAACUCCAGAAGAUGAACCCCAAAAAAAUCCAUAGUAGACCAGCAUCGUUAAUUUUUCAUGUAUUAAUUUGCUGAUGUCACGAUCUUCAGGAUUUGUCCUUCUUAGCCGAGGGGCUUGAAGGCCGCUCCCCUAACCCAGUCGCUCUCCUUCUUGACGCCCUCUGUAGGCCAGAUGCUGAUCUAGGAGUAGACAACCCAUCUCUCUUGGAAUGGAAGUUUGAAAAGGAACAUGCAAUUGAGCCAUGUGGUCUUAGGAAAGGCAAAGCUGGUGGGGCAUGGCAGAACAUGGAUGGAUCCAUGCAGACUCUGAGCUUUGCCAACUGGAUGGAACUCCCCUCUCUAAGCUUCAAGGAGUGGCAGAAUUCACACCACAGAGAUGAAAGCCAUGCUCACAAUGGAAGAGCCACUGUUGCAGAUGUAAGAAGAUACUACGGCGAUUUUGUCGAAGAACGAGGACUUCAGCCAUAUUUCAGGGACCAAUAUGUUGUUACAUCCAUUCAGAAGAAGUUCUAUACCAACAAGGAUGUUGACUCAGAAAGUGGGGAGGUAGAACCUUGUAAAUGUAGGUACAAAAACCAUGGCUUCCUUUGGGAGGUCAGAGGUUAUUGUUACCUUGGUGAUAGUGAGGGGGAUAGAGAGGAGUUCUGUUAUUGCACCAAUAAUGUGGUGGUAGCUACAGGAACAUUUGACAUCCCCAACAAAUUGGGUAUUCACUGGGGAAAACUUACCUUAUGUUCUACAUUCUCUUGAAGAAGUGGAGCAUGUUUUAUCCAACAAAAAGAAGAAGAAAUCCCAGGAUCCAGUGGUCAUUGUCGGAGCAGGACUAAGUGCAGCAGGACGCUGUGAUCAUGGCUCUGAAAAUGAAGCGGCCAGUAGGUUCACGUAUUUAGACGUGGAGCCAACGAUUCUCAACUGAUCUUCAAGAAAUUACCAGCAGCAAUUUAUCCAGAGUAUCAUACUAUCCAUUCAAUGAUGAAAGGCAAAACCAUUAACCCCCUGUACAAACCUUACCCAAAUCACUCUUUGGUGGAGCUAAAGGAAGACAACCAUGUUCUGAUACAGACGACAUCGGGAGGCGACAUCUUGUCAUUGGAUGCCUUCUAUGUGGCGAUUCUGAUUGGAGCAUGCCCAGAUCUGUCAUUUCUUCCACACGAUGGUAAAAACCUCGGUGUAAUACCGCGCUUUCCCAUUGACAGUAAGCAUAAUCCCAUUCACGUGGACCCAUAUUCUUACCAGUGUGUCGCAGAAACCGGACUAUUUUCAAUGGGACCAUUAGUAGGGGACAAUUUCGUACGCUUUGGAUUGGGUGGAUCGUUAGGCAUUACGAAUCAUUUAUUGCUCACAAAGAACAAACAAACUCAGUAAAUAUGUGCAAUACUCCUUACAGUGAUGUAUGGUUGUGAUAAUCCAAUUUUUAACUUAUUAUGAACAGAUCUUCUUAGUACUUACAUGUAUAUUAAAGGUCUUAUAUACCUCAAUUCACUGAUCUGCCAAUGAUUUUGUUAUAAUUUUUUUACAUUAAAAAAUUGUUUCUUUUU